AGGUAUUGGCACCUGGUGAGGACCUUCUGUCGCUGUCCGAAUGGACCAAUUGGAGGAAAGUAAUAGUAUUGGCGAAGGUGAGGACCUACUCUCAAUUUCCGAUUGGAUAAAUUGGAAUCAAGUAAUAGUGAGGUCCCUGGAAAAUUGCUCUGUGAUGCUGAAGAAGAAGAAGAGAACUGCAGGAGAGGCAGUGCUGCGGAAGGUGAGUAAUUAAAGACUAAAUAAGCUAAUUAGAAAAUUCAAAUUGCUUAAUUAGUCAUUAGGAGGGUUACCACAGCAGUUCAUAACAAUUCCGACCAUUUUUCCUAAAGAUAUAGAUUUUUAGGAAAAACUGGCUUGAAGGCAUUCCUGAUUGUAUGGGAUGUCCCACAGCAGUUAGACAUGAAACGUAUAGAGUUUGGACAUGGUAGAACUCUCCCAAUAGUUACUGUGUAUACUUUA